GACGGAGGGUGCUAGCGUUGUUCGGAAUCACUGGGCGUAAAGGGCGCGUAGGCGGCUCCAGGUGUCGGAUGUGAAAGCCCGGGGCUCAACCCCGGAGGUGCAUCCGAAACUCUGGAGCUGGAGGCCGGAAGAGGAGGGUGGAAUACCCAGUGUAGAGGUGAAAUUCGUAGAUAUUGGGAGGAACACCGGUGGCGAAGGCGGGUCUCUGGGCCGAUAUUGACGCUGAGGAGCGAAAGCGUGGGGAGCGAACAGG
rnacentral:rRNA from 1 species